rnacentral:rRNA from 1 species
AGCGAACGCUGGCGGCAGGCUUAACACAUGCAAGUCGAACGCCCCGCAAGGGGAGUGGCAGACGGGUGAGUAACACGUGGGAACGUACCCUUUGGUUCGGAAUAACUUGGGGAAACUCAAGCUAAUACCGGAUAAGCCCUUAUGGGGAAAGGUUUACUGCCGAAGGAUCGGCCCGCGUCUGAUUAGCUAGUUGGUGAGGUAAUGGCUCACCAAGGCGACGAUCAGUAGCUGGUCUGAGAGGAUGAUCAGCCACACUGGGACUGAGACACGGCCCAGACUCCUACGGGAGGCAGCAGUGGGGAAUAUUGGACAAUGGGGGCAACCCUGAUCCAGCCAUGCCGCGUGAGUGAUGAAGGCCUUAGGGUUGUAAAGCUCUUUUACCCGGGACGAUAAUGACUGUACCGGGAGAAUAAGCCCCGGCUAACUUCGUGCCAGCCGCCGCCGUAA